UAGUGAACUUAUCGUUUAUUUAGAUAGUACCUUACUACUUGGAUAACCGUGGUAAUUCUAGAGCUAAUACAUGCUAAAAAUCCCGACUUCGGAAGGGAUGUAUUUAUUAGAUUAAAAACCAAUGCCCUCCGGGGCUCACUGGUGAUUCAUGAUAACUCCUCGAAUCGCAUGGCCUUGCGCCGGCGAUGGUUCAUUCAAAUUUCUUCCCUAUCAACUUUCGAUGUUUGGGUAUUGGCCAAACAUGGUUGCAACGGGUAACGGAGGGUUAGGGCUCGACCCCGGAGAAGGAGCCUGAGAAACGGCUACUACAUCCAAGGAAGGCAGCAGGCGCGCAAAUUACCCAAUCCCGACUCGGGGAGGUAGUGACAAUAAAUACUGAUACAGGGCUCUUUUGGGUCUUGUAAUUGGAAUGAGUACAAUUUAAAUCCCUUAACGAGGAACAAUUGGAGGGCAAGUCUGGUGCCAGCAGCCGCGGUAAUUCCAGCUCCAUAGCGUAUAUUAAGUUGUUGUGGUUAAAAGCUCGUAGUUGAACCUUGGGCCUGGCUGGCCGGUCCGCCUCACCGCGUGUACUGGUCCGGCCGGGCCUUUCCCUCUGUGGAACCCCAUGCCCUUCACUGGGUGUGGCGGGGAAACAGGACUUUUACUGUGAAAAAAUUAGAGUGCUCCAGGCAGGGCCUAUGCUCGAAUACAUUAGCAUGAAAUAAUAGAAUAGGACGUGUGGUUCUAUUUUGUUGGUUUCUAGGACCGCCGUAUGAUUAAUAGGGACAGUCGGGGGCAUCAGUAUUCAUUUGUCAGAGGUGAAAUUCUUGGAUUUAUUGAGACUAACUACUGCGAAAGCAUUUGCCAAGGAUGUUUUCAUUAUCAGGACGAAGUUAGGGGAUCGAAGACGAUCAGAUACCGUCGUAGUCUUACAUAACUAUGCGACUAGGGAUCGACGUGUUAUAUUUUGACCCGUCGGCACUUACGAGAAUCCAAGUGCUUGGCUCAGGG
rnacentral:rRNA from 1 species